rnacentral:rRNA from 1 species
CAAUAGCGUAUAUUAAAGUUGUUGCGGUAAAAAAGCUCGUAGUUGGAUUUCUGUUGAGAGCGACCGGUCCAUACCAUGUAUGCGUAUCUGGCUUGCUCUCGGCAUCCUCUCGAUAGACGUUACUGCGCUUGAUUGCGUGGUGCGGAUCUCGGGACUUUUACUUUGAGGAAAUUAGAGUGUUCACGGCAGGCUUUCGCCAGAAUACAUUAGCAUGGAAUAAUACUAUAGGAUCUUGGUUCUAUUUUGUUGGUUUCUAGAAUUGAGAUAAUGAUUAAUAGGGACAAUUGGGGGCAUUCGUAUCAACACGUCAGAGGUGGAAUUCUUGGACUGUGUUGCGACGAACUACUGCGAAAGCAUUUGCCAAGGAUGUUUUCAUUGA